CCUACGGGAGGCAGCAGUGAGGAAUAUUGGUCAAUGGACGCAAGCCUGAACCAGCCAUGCCGCGUGCAGGAAGACGGCUCUAUGAGUUGUAAACUGCUUUUGUACGAGGGUAAACGCAGAUACGCGUAUCUGUCUGAAAGUAUCGUACGAAUAAGGAUCGGCUAACUCCGUGCCAGCAGCCGCGGUAAUACGGAGGAUUCAAGCGUUAUCCGGAUUUAUUGGGUUUAAAGGGUGCGUAGGCGGUCGGAUAAGUUAGAGGUGAAAUCCCGAGGCUCAACUUCGGAAUUGCCUCUGAUACUGUUCGGCUAGAGAGUAGUUGAGGUAGGUGGAAUGUAUGGUGUAGCGGUGAAAUGCUUAGAGAUCAUACAGAACACCGAUUGCGAAGGCAGCUUACCAAGCUACUACUGACGUUGAGGCACGAAAGCGUGGGGAGCAAACAGGAUUAGAUACCCCAGUAGUC
rnacentral:rRNA from 1 species